rnacentral:snRNA from 1 species
AGCUUUGUGCAGUGGCAGUAUUGUAGCCAAUGAGGUUUAUCCAAGAUGUAAUUUUUGCUAAUUGAAAACUUUUCUCAACCUAGCAAAGAAGGUGGAAGACCUCUGUAAUGAAAAUUAUGGAAUUCUGAAGAAAGA